rnacentral:lncRNA from 1 species
ACUGGCCGCUCGAAGCUUGAAGCUGCAGUUCACUUUCGCGAAUGUAAGGAACCCAGCUUCUGUGUGGUGGGCACUGAGAGCAGAACCGCAUUGAGUCGGAGUGGAGCACAGAAGUGUAGGUCCUUUUGCGCUGUUUCAAGCUAAACCCGUGUCACUGAUGCCGUACAGAAGUUACAGAAUGGGACGCCACCCCAAACAUUACGUCAUCCGCUGACCAUUUCCUUGCGGUCUUCCCACCGUCUAAAUCGCCAUAUAAUCUGAUGGAUGGGGUCCUCGCGCGGUUCAGCUCCUGGGCGACAGCGUAACCCGUCGCUCCUCCCUCUGCGGGAGGGCGUGGACGGGGCACGGGAUUUGGAGCAUGGAAGGAAUCGGGACCUAAAGGUUCUACUGACCCAAGGAAAGGACUGUUUGAAGAUGAAGAAGUUGUAUGUCAGUACACGGGUGGGGAGGAUCCUGUAGACAGGAAAAACCGAAGUUGUAGCAGAGCGAUAGGGAAAGUUUCUGGAGUCAUGUUCUUCAGAAGGUGAGCGAGAGGGUCAAGUUCACAAACAGAGGAAUUGCCUUACACAGGGGCAGGGACAGUUCCCGAAUAAUAAUUGGGAGAGAAGGCAGAGUGAGCGGGCAUGGGUCGAGGGAGCUGGGGAG